rnacentral:rRNA from 1 species
AAUCACUGGGCGUAAAGCGCGCGCAGGCGGCCUUUUAAGUUGGAUGUGAAAGCCUAUGGCUCAACCAUAGAACUGCAUCCAAAACUAUUAGGCUAGAGUGUGGGAGAGGAAGAUGGAAUUAGUUGUGUAGGGGUAAAAUCCGUAGAGAUAACUAGGAAUACCAAAAGCGAAGGCAAUCUUCUGGAACAUUACUGACGCUGAGGCGCGAAAGCGUGGGGAGCAAACAGGAUUAGAUACCCUGGUAGUCCACGCCCUAAACGAUGAAUGUUAGUCGUCGGGUAGCUAGUCUAUUCGGUGAUGCAGCUAACGCAUUAAACAUUCCGCCUGGGGAGUACGGUCGCAAGAUUAAAACUCAAAGGAAUAGACGGGGACCCGCACAAGUGGUGGAGCAUGUGGUUUAAUUCGAAGAUACGCGAAGAACCUUACCUAGCCUUGACAUAUAUUAGAACUCAGCAGAGAUGCAGAGGUGCCUUCGGGAGCUUUUAUACAGGUGCUGCACGGCUGUCGUCAGCUCGUGUCGUGAGAUGUUGGGUUAAGUCCCGCAACGAGCGCAACCCUCGUCACUAGUUACUAACGGUUCGGCCGAGGACUCUAGUGAGACUGCCUUCGUAAGGAGGAGGAAGGUGAGGACGACGUCAAGUCAUCAUGGCCCUUACGGCUAGGGCAACACACGUGCUACAAUGGCCAGGACAGUGAGACGCAAUACCGCGAGGUGGAGCAAAUCUAUAAACCUGGUCUCAGUUCGGAUUGUAGUCUGCAACUCGACUACAUGAAGCUGGAAUCACUAGUAA